ACUUAAAUUGAAGAGUUUGAUCAUGGCUCAGAUUGAACGCUGGCGGCAGGCCUAACACAUGCAAGUCGAGCGGUAGCACAGAGAGCUUGCUCUCGGGUGACGAGCGGCGGACGGGUGAGUAAUGUCUGGGAAACUGCCUGAUGGAGGGGGAUAACUACUGGAAACGGUAGCUAAUACCGCAUAACGUCGCAAGACCAAAGUGGGGGACCUUCGGGCCUCAUGCCAUCAGAUGUGCCCAGAUGGGAUUAGCUAGUAGGUGGGGUAACGGCUCACCUAGGCGACGAUCCCUAGCUGGUCUGAGAGGAUGACCAGCCACACUGGAACUGAGACACGGUCCAGACUCCUACGGGAGGCAGCAGUGGGGAAUAUUGCACAAUGGGCGCAAGCCUGAUGCAGCCAUGCCGCGUGUGUGAAGAAGGCCUUCGGGUUGUAAAGCACUUUCAGCGGGGAGGAAGGCGUAAGGUUAAUAACCUUACGAUUGACGUUACCCGCAGAAGAAGCACCGGCUAACUCCGUGCCAGCAGCCGCGGUAAUACGGAGGGUGCAAGCGUUAAUCGGAAUUACUGGGCGUAAAGCGCACGCAGGCGGUCUGUCAAGUCGGAUGUGAAAUCCCCGGGCUCAACCUGGGAACUGCAUUCGAAACUGGCAGGCUAGAGUCUUGUAGAGGGGGGUAGAAUUCCAGGUGUAGCGGUGAAAUGCGUAGAGAUCUGGAGGAAUACCGGUGGCGAAGGCGGCCCCCUGGACAAAGACUGACGCUCAGGUGCGAAAGCGUGGGGAGCAAACAGGAUUAGAUACCCUGGUAGUCCACGCCGUAAACGAUGUCGAUUUGGAGGUUGUGCCCUUGAGGCGUGGCUUCCGGAGCUAACGCGUUAAAUCGACCGCCUGGGGAGUACGGCCGCAAGGUUAAAACUCAAAUGAAUUGACGGGGGCCCGCACAAGCGGUGGAGCAUGUGGUUUAAUUCGAUGCAACGCGAAGAACCUUACCUGGUCUUGACAUCCACAGAACUUUCCAGAGAUGGAUUGGUGCCUUCGGGAACUGUGAGACAGGUGCUGCAUGGCUGUCGUCAGCUCGUGUUGUGAAAUGUUGGGUUAAGUCCCGCAACGAGCGCAACCCUUAUCCUUUGUUGCCAGCGGUCCGGCCGGGAACUCAAAGGAGACUGCCAGUGAUAAACUGGAGGAAGGUGGGGAUGACGUCAAGUCAUCAUGGCCCUUACGACCAGGGCUACACACGUGCUACAAUGGCAUAUACAAAGAGAAGCGACCUCGCGAGAGCAAGCGGACCUCAUAAAGUAUGUCGUAGUCCGGAUUGGAGUCUGCAACUCGACUCCAUGAAGUCGGAAUCGCUAGUAAUCGUAGAUCAGAAUGCUACGGUGAAUACGUUCCCGGGCCUUGUACACACCGCCCGUCACACCAUGGGAGUGGGUUGCAAAAGAAGUAGGUAGCUUAACCUUCGGGAGGGCGCUUACCACUUUGUGAUUCAUGACUGGGGUGAAGUCGUAACAAGGUAACCGUAGGGGAACCUGCGGUUGGAUCACCUCCUUACCUUAAAGAA
rnacentral:rRNA from 1 species